GUGUCCAGUGUGAUGUGGAGCUGGUGGAGUCUGGGGGAGAUGUGAUACAGCCUGGGGGAUCUCUGAGUCUCUCCUGCAAAGCUUCUGGAUUUACUUUCAGCAGCUACAGGAUGAGCUGGGUCUGCCAGGCUCCAGGGAAGGGACUGGAAUGGGUUGCAAGCAUUCGUACUACUAGUAGUACAUACUAUGCAGACUCUGUGAAAGGCCGAUUCACCACCUCCAGAGAUAAUGGCAUCAGCAUCUUAUACCUACAGAUGACUUCCCUUGAGACUGAGGACACAGCUGUGUAUUACUGUGCAAGAGACACAGUGAGGAAAAGCAAUGUGAGACCAGAUAAAAUCUUCCCCUGCCUGGAG